rnacentral:rRNA from 1 species
ACUCAAAGGAAUUGACGGGGGCUCACACAAGCGGUGGAGCAUGUGGCUCAAUUCGAGGCUACGCGAAGAACCUUAUCCUGGGCUUGACAUGUCCGAAAGGGGCAGGAGGUAGAACCCGGAAACGGGAACGAACGGUAUCCAAUCCGGAACCUGCCACAGGUGCUGCAUGGCUGUCGUCAGCUCGUGUCGUGAGAUGUCGGGUUAAGUCCCAUAACGAGCGAAACCCUUGUUUCCAGUUGCCAGCGGGUCAUGCCGGGGACUCUGGAAAGACUGCCGGUGUUAAACCGGAGGAAGGUGGGGAUGACGUCAAGUCCUCAUGGCCUUUAUGCCCAGGGCUGCACACGUGCUACAAUGGCGUGAACAAAGGGACGCAAACCCGCGAGGGGGAGCAAAUCCCAAAAAACACGCCCCAGUUCAGAUUGCAGGCUGCAACUCGCCUGCAUGAAGUUGGAAUCGCUAGUAAUCGCGGGUCAGCAACACCGCGGUGAAUGUGUUCCUGAGCCUUGCACACACCGCCCGU